GACGAACGCUGGCGGCGUGCUUAACACAUGCAAGUCGAACGAUGAAGGAGAGCUUGCUCUUCAGAUUAGUGGCGAACAGGUGAGUAACACGUGACUAACCUGCCCCUUUCUCUGGGAUAACGCUCCGAAAGGAGUGCUAAUACCGGAUACUCACAUCGAGGCACAUGCCUUGAUGUGGAAAGUUUUUCGGAAAGGGAUGGAGUCGCGGCCUAUCAGCUUGUUGGUGAGGUAACGGCUCACCAAGGCGACGACGGGUAGCCGGCCUGAGAGGGCGACCGGCCACACUGGGACUGAGACACGGCCCAGACUCCUACGGGAGGCAGCAGUGGGGAAUAUUGCACAAUGGGCGAAAGCCUGAUGCAGCGACGCCGCGUGAGGGAUGAAGGUCUUCGGAUUGUAAACCUCUUUCAGUAGGGACGAAGCGAAAGUGACGGUACCUAAAGAAGAAGCACCGGCUAACUACGUGCCAGCAGCAGCCGCCG
rnacentral:rRNA from 1 species